CCCUUAGAUGUUCUGGGCCGCACGCGCGCUACACUGAAGGAAUCAGCGUGGCUUUCUCCCUGACCCGAAAGGGUUGGGAAACCCGUUGAAUCUCCUUCGUGAUAGGGAUUGGGGCUUGAAAUUGUUCCCCAUGAACGAGGAAUUCCCAGUAAGCGCGAGUCAUAAGCUCGCGUUGAUUACGUCCCUGCCCUUUGCACACACCGCCCGUCGCUACUACCGAUUGAACGGUUUAGUGAGGGCCUCGGAUUGGUCUCGGCCCGCUCUUUACCGGGCGGCGCCGUUGGUCGAGAAGACGCUCGAACUUGAUCGUUUAGAGGAAGUAAAAGUCGUAACA
rnacentral:rRNA from 1 species